rnacentral:rRNA from 1 species
CAGCACCUCAAGUGGUCAGGAUGAUUAUUGGGCCUAAAGCAUCCGUAGCCGGCUCUGUAAGUUUUCGGUUAAAUCUGUACGCUCAACGUACAGGCUGCCGGGAAUACUGCAGAGCUAGGGAGUGGGAGAGGUAGACGGUACUCGGUAGGAAGGGGUAAAAUCCUUUGAUCUAUUGAUGACCACCUGUGGCGAAGGCGGUCUACCAGAAGACGUCCGACGGUGAGGGAUGAAAGCUGGGGGAGCAAACCGGAUUAGAUACCCGAGUAGUCC